ACAAAAUCUUUUAAAGUGACCUUUGUGGAUCUAAAAUGAAGACAGAUUCAGCAGCUGCACGGCCUAUUUCUUGCAUACAAUGUUUUUAGAAACAUGUUUCGGUGAACUAUUUAGGGAAUAAUACAACAU